CCUGGCUCAGAUUGAACGCUGGCGGCAUGCCUAACACAUGCAAGUCGAUCGGCAGCACGGUCUAGUUUACUAGAUGGGUGGCGAGUGGCGGACGGGUGAGUAAUGCGCAGGAAUAUACCUUAAAGAGGGGGAUAACUUGGGGAAACUCAAGCUAAUACCGCAUAAUCUCUGAGGAGAGAAGCUGGGGACCUUCGGGCCUGGCGCUUUAAGAUUAGCCU
rnacentral:rRNA from 1 species